rfam:Oryza rufipogon genomic scaffold, chr06
AGAAAAGUAAACCAUAGAUUUUUAUGCUAACGUUUGAUUGUUUGUUUUAUAUGAAAAUUUUUUAUAAUUAAUAUUUUUAUUAUUGUUAGAUGAUAAAAUAUGAUUAAUACUUUAUGCGUGACUUAAUUUUUUAAUUUUUUUCAUAAUUUUUUUAAAUAAGACGGACGAUCAAAUGUUGGUACGGGAACCCACAGUUUACCUUUUU